GGAGAGAUGUCCGAGUUUGGCUGAAGGAGCACGACUGGAAAUCGUGUAUACGGGAAACCGUAUCAUGGGUUCGAAUCCCAUUCUCUCCG
rnacentral:tRNA from 1 species